rnacentral:lncRNA from 1 species
GUCGAUUUCACUAUCAAAAUUCAAGAAAAGUUCUACAUGCAAUUGUGAUCAUAUAAAAAUGGAAAAGAAAUCAGAAGUCAGAAAUGUAAAAUAUAUUGUGAACCCUCAUGAGAAUCAACGACAUAAGUCAUAAACAAAGAAGAAACAACAAUCACCUUGUUUAUAAUAAUAUGGAGUCGAAUAAAUACAUAGCGGAAUGAUUAAAAAAGAAAAAAAAAUAGAUACAAUAUCUGUGUCAGUUUGUCUACCUCGUGGUCCACCAAGAGGCCGAUGGACCAUUAUCCUCGAGUUUGGAAGGCUAUACCUUUUUCCUUCAGUAAUUAUCAGAGAGAGAAUUGUAUAGAAACUUCAGCUAGUAAAAUAACCACCAAUAGAAUGUUAAACAUCUUAAGGUAAAAUGCCUUAGCAUGCAUGUCUUUGAGCAUGCUGGAUACAAUAGUAAGAUGAUGAAACACCAAAUAUGCACAUCAGAAGAACUAAAGAAACAACAAUCUUUGCCAAUUACUAUGAAAAUAUGUUGGUAUUAUAAUAUUAGAGAUGAACUGACUACUAAUAAAGCUUCAAUUUUUAUUUCUUUUCUGUUUUCAGCAAAGAAAGAGGUUUCAAAUAUCUCAUAACAAAUCUUAAAGAAAGAAAACAGUUGAUUGCCUAACAGAGGUUCAUUUUAUACUUGGUUACUCUCUCUACCACAAAGGAAAGUUAGCAAUACAAUAUUAGUAGAAACUACACCAAAUUGUAAUUAAAUAGCAGUAAUAUAUCAUAACCAGGCCACUAAUCCAACACAUACAGUAGAAAGUCUGGUCUACUAUGCCUCAUUGUGUCAAUAAUGACCAUACCUACCACAAUAAUGGAAAGCAAAUAAGACAAAUAAAUGGUCAAAAGCUAUAAAGAUGGAGUGGAAAAGGAAAAAAGAAAUGUUACAAGCUGUAACUGAUCUCUCUUUUCCACAGCUUCAAAAUCUUAAAUGCUGAGAAGGGUCACCAACAUAUACUGCUUUAUAUAAAUUAUUUUAACACAUAAUCCCCAAUAUUUAACACUUAAAUUGGUUUUCAUACUAAAAAUCCAAGAAAAUCAAAAGACUACCAAAACCUGCAUUGUAUUUCCAGACUAUUGAAAUGUGGUACCAGUUUCUGCAUAUUGGAAAGCAUCACCGAAAUCACUGACAAAAAAUAGCACUUUCUAGGAAGAAUUUUAAAAGUACCUUGCUCGAAAAUAACCUAAAAUUUCUUGAAUAACUGAGAAAUUAAACCUUAAAUCCUUAAUCAACUGAUUGAUAUCAUAUAACUACAACAAUUUUAAAGAUUCAAUCUAUAAUUUACAAUGACUUCAACAUGAAUCUUCCAAUAUACAGUUGUCCUUGCAUUAAUAUUCUUGAAUAACUUAAAUACAUCUUAAUAACCUUUAAUUCUUUCUAAACUUUGAAAAUAAACCAAUUUUUCAUGAACCCUAAAAUCAAAUUGAAGCAAAUCUGUUGCUUUACCCCUAAAAGGAAGAAAUUGAACACCCUACAUCAUUAAUGUUGCCAUCCUUUUCUUUCUCCUCAUUUUUUUCUCCCUUCUUUCUUUUCAUCUCCUCAUUUCUUCUCUUUCUCUUGAUUCUUCCCUGCUUGUUUCUUUUCAUUCUCCAAAUGAAAAUAAUGGGUCCAAUGAGAGUUAAGUGGAUAACUGUCACAAAUUUGCAAAAGAAGUCCCUUACCUUAUGGGCUGGGUGAAUUUUAAUUAGGUCGUGGGCUACUAUUCACAGCAUUUAACGACCGUUACAAAAAGUGAAUUUUUUUUGAACGCUUUCGCAAUAGUUAAUGAAUAUUGCAAAAAAUGAAACUUUUCCCAACAUUCAAUAAACGUUAUAAAAAUGACGUUGCAAAAAGUUCACUUUGCAUUAGUUAAUAAACAUUGCAAAAGGCCAUAUAUUACGAGUUUCAACAAUGUGCACUGAACGUUGGUGUAAAGCCAGAUUUUAACAGCAUUCAAUAAACAUUGAAAAAAAUGAAACUUUUCGCAGCAUUCAAUGAAUGUUACAAAAAAGUUAACUUUUUGUUAAAGCCAAUAAACAUUUCAACAGGCUAUAUAUUAAGAGUUUCAGCAACAUGCACCAAAUGUUGAUGUAAAGUUCAAAUUUUAACAGCGUUCAAUAAACAUUGCAAAAAAUAAAACUUUUCACAACAUUCAAUAAAUGUUGCAAAAAAGUUCACUUUUUGCAACAAUUAGUAAACGUUGCAAAAUGCUAUAUAUUAGAACUUUUAGCAACAUUCACUGAACGUUGUUGUAAAGCCAGAUUUUAACAAUAUUCAAUAAACACUACAAAAAAUGAAACUUUUCAUAACAUUCAAUAAACGUUGCAAAAUAUGACAUUAGUAACAUACAUUUAAAAAAUGUUGCCAAAACUCAAUUAUGUUAACCAAUGGCAACAUUCACUUAUUAAAAUUAUACAAUAGACUCUCUUUAACAACACUCAAUUAACAAAUGUUGCCUCUUUCGUGUUCCCAAAAAUGAUUUUUGUUGUUGUGAUUCUCAUAGUCUAUCCACUAGAACAUUACUUCAUUCGUGUUUCGAUUGAAAAUUGGAAUAUUUUCCACCUUACACCAUAAUGAGCUUGUAUUUUUUUAUUAUUUAUUCCUAAAGUUACAUAUUUGACAUGUCGACUUUGUUUCAGUAUGUUUACAUCAACGAUGGUGCAGAUAUCGUUGCAUUAGCUAGAGACUAUAUCAAGUUUCUGUUUGGAGGACAGAAGAGCUAACAUCUAAGGCAUGCCAUCUAUUAGUGAAAGAUGUUCUUCAAGAUGCUGACAUAGAAGAAAGAUGAAGAUGAUCGAUAUUGGCUUUAACGCAAAAUAUUUAGUACCUCCACAUGGUAUGAUAGCCCUGUUAAGUCUAUAAACUGUGAUACCGGAGAGCAUGUACCUUAUUCAUCCUUGAGAAAGGGUAUAUAAAGCAUAAGGUUUAAGACUCUUAAUGAAAACCUUGCACAAAGCUUGCUUCUCAAAAGAUUUGGUUUCGUAGUGUUUUCAUGUCUUCAUUUAUGCCUUUACCUUGUGAAAUACAUUUAUGAUAAAAGUUCAUUAAGGAAUGGCAAGAAGGAAUUUGCAAUAGAUUUACUCUGGAUGAUUGUACAGGCUUGAGCAUAAGGAUAUCACUUUUUCUUCUUCUUUUGAUUUCAUGUUUAGCGAUUGAAUGCCACCAUCAGGGGUUCGUGGUCUACUAUGUACGUGUGAGGUGUGGUGGAAGGAAGAGGCCAAAUCCCAAGAGUAUUUUGUAUAGUUAGAAGAAUUAUUAAGUUAUCGAGUACCUGAGUUAACGGGAUCCAUGGACAAAAACUAUAACCUUUCGUCAUGUAAAGUUGUGAAAAUAAUUGGAACCUAUUUAUUCUUGUUUUUAUUUUUGUUUUUGUUUUGGUUCGUGAAAGGAGCUACUUUGUUUGCUAACUCCAAUUGGAUUUUCAAGGUUUGUGCUUUUUGAAGCUAAAUUAAUUAGGGUGUUGAGUUUAUUGCACAAGUUUUGAAGGGAAUUGCGAUUUGGAAUUUACAUUUAGAGUCCGAAGUUUAAAUUUUGGUUCGGCUUAAUUAGAAUAUUAAUGAAGAUGAAUCAAAGAGAAGCUGUCAAAACCAGCAACGCUCCGGAUCCCAAUUAAUUACUUUUAACUCUCCCGCUUUAUAUGUUGAUGCAUUUUUUUCUACUUGUCUAAAUGGUGUCUUUAGUCUCGAUGAUAGCUGGUUUUGCCUCCGCAAGUUUGGAGUCAACUGAAGAUACAAUCGUCCUGAAAAAGUACUAAGAUAUUUUUGUAUUUUUUUUAGUAUUUUUGCAUUUUUUAGGAAGGGCGGUUAACAUUACGAUAUAGAGAACUAUUAUACACGUUCAAGGGCAUUUAAUAUUAAUACUUCCUGCUAAAGCUUGCUUUCGGAAGGUUUUAUUGUUUCCUUUUGCGUUUCUCAGUUUUUGAAAUUUGAAUUUAUUCUGCAAUUAAGGGUAAAAUGUAUAUUGCUAAUUUGUUCCUCAUAAUCUUUCAUUUGUCAAUAUACCCUUUUUACAAUGUUGUCUGCCUCGAAACAUUUAGCAACAUAUGCUUAAAUUUGAUAUAACUAAUGCUCAACACAUAAUAUUUUCUUAUACAUACAUUAUUACAUAACUCAACUAUAUCGUGUAACAGGCCUUGCACGUGUGUCUUACUUGGUUGAGCCAAUUGUAUAUGGGUAAGGGUUAGUUAAUGAUGAGUUCAGAUAGUGGAUUUGGCUUUAGGAAAAAAUUCAUAUCUAAGAGUUUAACUUUGACCGAUUUCAAAACUAAUAAAAAAUGUUUAAAAUUUAAUAUUAUUAAAUUUUGUUUAUGAAAUAAUUGAAUAAAAAAUAUUUUAUUAAUUAAACAUAUUAAGGUCACAAAUCUAUAUAAUUUCAUCACAAAUUAUCAAAUUAAUUGGUUACAAAUUAUUUCUCGAGCACAAAUUAAAAAUUCUAUAGGACAUUAUUCAUCGGUCACAAAAUCAAAACUUUUAUUGACCACAAUUCAUUUAUCAAUUACAUAUUAUCAAAUUAAUUGCCAAAUUAAUUUUGUUGUCACAACUUAAUAAUUGUGAGUCACAAUUACAUUUUUUAGGUCACAAAUUACCCAAUUUAUUGGUCACAAUCAACCAAAUAAUUGGUCACAAAUAGCUCAUAUCCCGUCCCAUCUACCCAUGACCACCGUCGCCUCACCAGACUGUGCAAAAUCACCACCACAACAACCACUACAUCACAUCAAUGCAAACCUACCACCACCAUAGUAACCACACACCAAACUCCUACACUAUCAUCAUUGCUAGAUCGCAACAUAACCAAACUCCUACAAAUCAACCACAAAACCAUCACAAACCCAUCGUGACAACCAGAGUGUACACCACUGUGCGCAACACUCUGAGUUCGUUGCUGCUCGGGACGAGAUCUGAAUGUCGUACACGACGGGAUCUGAUCGUCAUUGUAUGCAACGAACUCAAGCUCCGUUUCGCAACAACGCCUAAGGCAAUACACUCGCCACUCACAACGGCUGAUCAGUGGCACUGGAUUCGCCUCCUCGUCGGUACCUACUGGUGAAAGGAGUGAAAGAAAAAAAAAUGAAAUAGGUCUUCCUACCAAGAGUUCCUUGGGGAUAUGCAAGAACUGGCUAACACUGCAUACGCUAUAUCCGGAUGUGUGUGACGGAUACAUAGGUUCCUACAAGCACUGGUACAUUUCCAUGUCUACUGCAGCAUCUUCCUCUACCUUUCCAAGUCUAACAUUCGAAUCUAAUGGAGUACUUGCUGGUUUGCAAGAUAUCUUCUCCUUAUCAUCAAUCCCGAUCACUAUUGUGUCAUCAACAUAUUCUAAGAAAACUGUGACUCCCUUGAAGGUGAGUGUUUAAUGUACAGCAUAUGAUCCCUUUAGCUUUGUCUAUAUAUAUCUCUGGUGAUUGCUCAAGUCCAUAGAGGCUUUCUUCAACUUACACACAAUAUAACCAGCCAAAUUAUUCCCAUAACCUAAUACGACCUCUAUAUAAAUUUCUUCCUUUAGUUCUCCAUGCAAACAAUGCAAUCUUAAGAUCAAAAUGCUGCAAUUCCCAACCAUAAUUAGUUGUUAAUGACAACAAGAUUCUAACAGCAGUUAUCUUUGCAAUUGGAGCAAAAGUCUCUAGGUAAUCGAUUCCAUAUGAUCAAGUAUAACCUUUAGCCACCAACUUUGCCUCGUAUCUUUCUAUCGAUCCAUCUGCCCUAUACUUCACUACAUAAACCCAUUUUAUAUCCCACUAAUCUCUUUCUUGUUGGCAACUUUACCAAUUCCCAAGUUUUUUUAAGGACCUCUAUCUCUACAUUCAUAGCUUGUUUCUAUUUCUCAUUGGACAAAGCCUUCGAUAAGGUGGUAGGAAUGACAAUGGUGUUUAAGCUAACAAGGAAGGCUCUAUGAGAUGGUAAAGAAUGUUUAAAAGACAAGAAAUGUGCAAGAGGAUAUAAAUGUCGGUUUGUGAGCAAUGGGAAGGUCCUGUCAUUACUGCUCACAUUAGAUUCAGUUUUAGCUUGCAAUGAAGGGUUAGAAAUUGUUGCCGCAUUCUCAAGAUCUGGGUUCGAGUCUUGUACUUGCACAGAUUCAAGGACAACCAUCUUCCUUGAAAACACCUUGCCCUUACCAAAUAUUUACAUUUUCAAAAGUAGAGUCCAUCUUUUCUUGAGGAUUUUCGAGCACAGGUUCAAACAAGGAGACACGGAAUUCAACAUAGUGGAAUGAGGAACUGAUCUGGAAUUCUCCCCCUGAAGAUAAGGAGCUGUGAAAUACGACUCUAAUUCAUUGAAAGUAACACCACCGAGACAUAGAAUUUCUUUAAUGGAGGGUGGUAACACUUACACCCUUUCUGAAUUGACAAAUAACCACAAAGACACAUCUUAACACCCUAGGAUCCAAGUUUCCCCUAUUUUGACUAUGGUCAUGGACAAAUGAUAUACACCCAAAUAUCCUAGGGACAAGAUUAUUUGUAGUGAGGUUAGGAUAGAAUGUCGAUAGUAUUUCCAUUUGCCUCUUGAAUCCCAAGAUUCUGGAAGGUAAACGAUUUAUUAAAUGUGUGGCUGUAAGAACUGCUUCUCCCCAAAAGGAUUUAGGUACAUCUCUCUGGAACAUGAAGGCUCAGGUUGAUUUAAGGUGUCUAUUUUACAUUUUUGCUACUCUAUUUUGCUGUAGAGUACUAACAUAAGAUGACUCGUGUACUAUCCCUUAAUUCUUCUUAAAGUACGGAGAUAGGACUUGAUUGAACCAACCCAAACCUUUUGAUAUUGACCUUAAAUUGAUUCUUAAUCAUGGAACAAAAAUUUGGAUGAACAGUACUAACAUCAGAUUUAUGUUUGAGCCAAAAAAUCCAAGUAACAUGAGAAUUAUGUUUAAUAACCCUAAAUGACACAUGUCCAAGUCAACAAUGGUGAAGCCACUCUCUAUAUUGGAUGAAAAAACUCAAACAAAAGAAUGAGGUAAUUUGCCCUUGAUGAUACUUGAUUGCCUCGGUGAUUCGAGUUAGGAAAGCCCAUCCCAUUCUCUAGCAUGUCCAAUCAUCUUCCCCGAAUCCUUGUCCUGAAAUACACUAACUAUAAUGAAAAACCACAUUGCAAUGUAAAUCAUGAGUGAGUUUUUGUAUAGAGACAAUAUUUGUGGACAGUCUAGAGACAUGGAGAACAUUUUACGGUCAGUGAUGGGCUUAUUUUGAAAUCUCCUGCACCUGCUACCUUGGUCAAAGAACCAUAAGUUGUGACUAUUUUCCUAUUGCUUGGACAUGGGAAAUAUGUGAAAAAAAUAUUUUGUGAGUUGGUCAUAUGUUCAGUAGCUCCUAAGUCCAUGACGCAAGAGUUUGGCAAAGGUUUAACCCAAUAGAGAAAGAAAACUCACCUAAAUACGCAAUGAACAAAUACCUGAAGGUUUGUCAAGGUUGCCAAUAAGAGAUCUCACCUUCUUGACCUCUUUUUGGAGUAUAGUGUGGCAGAAGAAACAGCUUUUUACCUUUUCAAAACAAGUAGUGCGAAACAAGGUGGAGGCAACUCAUUUGUUGGUGAAGGAUUUACAUAUCAAAAAAUUAAGAAGAGACUUGCUACUCACGUUGGAAAGCAUAAAAGUUCACAUAAUCAAGCUCGCAUUAAAUGUGAAGCCUUGAUGAAUCAAGAGCAACACGGUCAAUCAAUUUUCUUCAAGCAGUCCAAACAAAUGCGACAUGAUUAUUAUGUCUAUUUUAUUGCAUCAAUUGACUGUGUUCAAGUUUUGUUGCAACAAGGGCUUUCAUUUCAGGGUAAUGAUGAAUUUAAAAAUUCUCUCAAUUAAGGUAACUUCCUAAUUCAAUUACAAUUCCUAGCUGAUCAUAAUCAUGAGGUUAAGGCUGUGACGUUGGAAAAUGCUCCUCAAAAUUGCAAUCUAAUAUCCCCUAAAGUAUAAAAGAAUAGAGCAAGUGCUUGUGCUGCUGAAACGAUAAAUGUGAUUAUAGAUGUUGGAGAUUCAUUAUUUUCUAUUUUAGUUGAUGAAUCUCGUGACGUGUCAACAAAGGAGCAAAUGUCAAUUGUGUUACGACAUGUGAAAAAUGAAUUUGUAAAUGAAUGUUUCAUAGGUAUUGAACAUGUGUCUAGUACCAUUGUUGUCUCACUCAAGGCCGCUAUUGAUAACAAGUUUUCUAGAUAUAACUUGAGCAUUUCUAAUUUAAGAGGACAAAGUUACGAUGGGGCAAGCAAUAUGCAAUGUCAAUUCAGUGGUCUCAAAGCACUCAUUUUAAAUUAGAACCCUGUGCCUUUUAUGCUCAUAAUUUUGCUCAUCAACCGCAAUUAGUAGCUAUGGCAAAGAAGAAUAUACCGAUUAUUAAAUUCGUUCAUGUGGUUGCUAAUGUGAUAAAUAAUGUUAUAACAUCUUCUAAACGUUGUAAUCUUCUACAAGAGAAACAAUCAGACUUCAUUAUUGAGGCAUUGGAGAAUGAUGAUAUCUUAAGUGGACGGGGCAUUAAUCAAAAAACCACUCUUCAACGUUUAGGUGAUACGCGUUAGUGAUCCCAUUAUAAAUCUUUGGUUAGCUUGAUUAGCAUGUUUAAGGUUGUUAUUGAUGUACUUGAAAUAACUGUUGAAGAUGAAUCUAGUACUUGUGAUAAAAAAAAAAAAAAAGUAAUGCAUUCAAUUUAUUGGAGUCAAUACAAUCGUUUGAUUUUGCAUUUAAUCUACAUUUAAUGAAAAGUGUCUUGAGGAUUUCAAAUGAUUUGUCACAGGAAUUGCAAAGGAAAGAUCAAGACAUUAUCAAUGCAAUGGACAUGGUGAAUGUUUGCAAAAAACAACUCCCAACUUCUGUGAGAUGAUGGGAUUCUUUUUUGCAACAAGUUCCUUUUGUCAGAAUCAUUAUAUUGAUGUGCCAAACAUGGAUGCUAUGUUUAUGGUAUUCGCUCUCAUCGUAAUCCUCCACAAGUAACCAACUUGCAUUACUUUUUGGUAGAUUUAUUUUACGCUAUCAUUGAUAUGCAACUUCAAGAAUUGAAUGAUCAUUUCUCAAAGAUAAAUACUGAGUUGAUCCUUUUGUUUAGCUUGCCUGUGUCCACAAAAUUCAUUCUUUGCUUUUCACAAAAGAAAUUUUUAUCCACAAAAUUUUCCAAUGGUAGUUCUCUUCACAGUGGAAUAUCAACUUGAUAAUUAUAUUUUUAACACUCUUUAAUAAAGAGUUCGAAGAAUUGAAUAGCUUUAGCGCUCUAGCACAUAAAUUAGUUUUGAAAAAUAAGAAUAGAGCAUACCUACUGGUUUGCAAGCUUUUGACUUUCACACUAAUUCUUCCGGGUGCCAUGACUACUGUGGAGAGUAUUUUCUGCCAUGAAUAUUGUGAAUGAUAGAUUAUGAAAUCGGAUUGAAGAUGAGUGGAUGAAUGAUAGCCACAUCGUUUAUGCGGAAAAAGAUAUAUUCUUGAAGAUUAGUAAUAAAGUAAUUUCACAAAGAUAUCAAAGUAUGAAAACUCGUAAAUAACAAUUGUAAGAUAUUUCAUUUUUAGUAUAGUAUUUGUGUAUUGUGUUAUAAUACCGCUAUUUCUUUUGUGCAUUUUCUAAUAUCGCCCGCACUAAAAAGACUUUCUGAGUCCACCCCUGGAAACCUCUUAUGUCACUCUUCUCAAUCCAGAUGAGCAUGGUUUAAUCUUGACAACUCUUGGUAGGAAGAAGUCAAUAGAUGCCAAUGUGGACUUGAUGGCAAUUGGAAGUGACAGUGAUUGUGAAAAUUUCAGUGGAGCUGACCUAUCUGCUCUGGUUUGUCUGUACUUGAUUGUUUUCUUCAUAGGGUAAUAAUAUUUUAGAAACUGAUCUUGGUUACUAUAAAUAUUUAAUUAAAAUAAACAAUUUUUAGUAGAUUGGAAGGUUUAUAAUUGUUUGAUGUAAAUAAUUAGUGUUUGUUAAAUCAUAAAUGACAAAGAUGGCGAAAAAAAUACUUUGUUGCCGUUCAAGAUAUUUUGUGAUGCAUAAAUAAGUUAUCUUAAAGAAAUUUGAUAUGACUUGAACAAAUGUUGUUCGAUUGAGAAAAUGGGAAUUGCAUUCUAUUUCUUCUUUCACUCUUGAUGUAAAUGUCAUCCCUUGUGACGAUCAGUUUCAAGUUUGCUAUUUUUAUUUAUGGUAGAUGAAUAAAACUGCUAUAGAAACUAUUGCAAACAAAAUAAAUUUGGGGAACGAAGCUUUAUAUGCUACACCAUUGACUAUCAAAUAAAUACACUUCGAUCGAGCAUCGGAGAAAAUAUCUCUAUCUGUUUUAGAUGCAAUAUGAAUUUUUAUCAAGCUUGAUUUUGUUAUUGUAAUAUACCUCAAGAAAAGUAAAUGUAACUGUGUCAAUUUUUAUGCUUGGCUGCAGAAGAUAAGAAAAUAUGAACAGUCGUCAGAAAUCUUCACAGCGACUUUAGAAUGGACCUGAUCACGUGAAAAAAGCACUCCUAUGACUUAUAGUUGUUUGUACACUUUUAGUGAAGAAUCAAGCGAUGAAAUUUUUUGAUUCCGAAGAAAAUAAGUCUUAAAAAAUUAUGACUCCUAAAGCUUCAUCAACAAGAAUGUAAAAAUGAAAAAUUAAAUUGAACUUCCUAAAGAUUAUGACUUAUAAAGCUUAAUCGACAAGAAUGUAAAAAUGAAAAAUUAAACUGAAUUUCCUAAAUCAAAAACUUUUAAGACUUAUUUUCUUCAGAACAAAAAAUUUCUUCGCUUGUUUCUUCACUAAAAGUGUACAUAUAACUAUAAAUCCUACGAGUGUUUUUUUCACAUGAUCAGGUUCAUUCUAAAGUCGCUAUGAAGCUUUCUGACAACUAUUGAUAUUUUCUUAUCUUCUGCAGUCAAGAAUAAAAAUUGAGAAGAUAAACUUAUUUUUCUUAAGUUAUAUUACAAUAACAAAAUCAAACCUAAUAAAAAUUCAUACUGCACCUGAAACAGAUGAAAAUAUUUUCUCCAAUGCCCGAUUGAAGUGUAUUUGAUGGUCAAUAGUGCAGCAUAUAAAACUUCGUUCCCCGAAUUUAUUUGUCCACAAUAGCUUCCAUAACAAUUUUAUUCAUCUAGCAAAAAUAAAAGUAGCAAAGCUAGUGACUGAUAAUCACAAGGGAUGAACAUUUACGUGAAGAGAGAAGAAAUAGAAUGCAACUCCCAUUUUCUCACUAGAACAUUCAUUCAAGUCUUCUUUAGGAUGACUUUUUUAUGCUUCACAAAAUAUUAACAAAGCAUUUUUUCGUCAUCUUUGUUAUUUAUGCUUUAACUAACACUAAUUACCCAUAUCAAAUAAUUAUGAACCUUCCAAUCUACUAAAAACUAUUUAUUUUAAUUAAAUAUUAAUAAUAAUCAAGACCAUUUUUACUAAAAUAAUGUUACUCUAUAAAGAAACAAUCAAGUAUAGACAAACUAGAGCAAUAAGUCAACUCCACUGAAAUUUUUACAAGUACUGUCACUUCCAAUUGCAAUCAACUCCACAUUGACAUCUAUUGGCUUCUUCCUACCAAUAGCUAUCAAGAUUAAACCACACUCAUCUAGACUAGGAAGAGGGACAUAUAGAGGCUUCCAGAAACGGACCUAGAAAGCUUUUUCAGUGCGGACAAAAUUAGAAAAUUUACAAAAAAAAAAUAACCGCAUUAUAACCCAGUACACAAACAUUAUACUAAAAAUGAAAUACCUUAAAAUUACUCUUUACGAGUUCUCAUACUUUGAUAUCUUUGUAAAAUCACUUCAUUAUCAAUCCUCAAGAAUACAUAUUUCUCCACAUAAACGAUAAGACUAUCAUUCGUCCACUCAUUUCCAAUCCAAUUACGUAAUCUACUCCGCUUCUCCAAUUCACUACACUUACAUAAUUCUAUUUUAUAGAUUCUCCAAGCCACAAAUGACAAACCCCUCCAAUGAUCCAACAAUACACUAAGAGGGUGUUUGGGAACCAUUUUUAUGUAAAAAUGCAUUUUAAAAUAGUAAAUUGAUAAAAAAUGCAUGCAUUAAAAAUAAAGAAAAAUUUUUGAUUUACAUGUAAUAUUAUUUUAAUGAAGAAUGUGUGAUUGAAAAUAAGAGAGAAAUACAUUUUUAAAAAAAUGGGAACCAAACGAGGCCUAAUAUGUACAAACUUGCUACCUGUGGUAUGAAAAAAUACAAGAUUGAAAAGUUAACUAACA